AUCAGCAGGAGAGCACGUGACAAGGCUGCAGCGGGUUUCGGUUUUGCUCAUUUUGUUGAUUAAUUUAACAUUUAAAUUCCUGCACCGAAAAAUUCCUGCUAGUAAGGCAAUUUAUCUUUUAAAUCGUAUAUCGUUUUCCAGAAAUUUUCAACUUUCCACAAGAUUCUGUUCAGAUUAAUGUGUGUAAUGGUUCCCCAUUAAUUUCUUAUAACACCAAAUCAAGUUCACCUGUGUCUACCUCGACUGAUCGGUGUCUGCAGGCACGGCCCUUAGUGUGGAAGGCCUUCUCCUAAGUCACGGUAGAGCUGAAAGAAUAUCAGCUCAGAUUUCAUCUUCAGGUUGAAUACAUUUAUUGUUUGUUUUCUUUUGUUUAUGUUAGCCUGCCUGCAGACCCAGCCUGGCAAAGUAACCAGCAUGUGGUUUUCUUUCUUUUUUUAUUUUUUGGACUUGUAGCCAUCAAUAAAUUCAUUAUAAUUUACCCUGCAUCUGCGUUCGCAUCCUCAGUAUGCAAGACAUAACAGGAAUGAAGAAGUGCAGAGAUGGUUGGUGCCUCUGGCGAACAUUUGCAACUAAUACAGUUAGUUGACCAAUGCCUGCAGUCACUCAGUAAUGCUUUAUUCAAUGUGUCUUUAAUGACUUUAAAAGUCAUAUAGCUUUAAAAUGGCUUUAAAAGCUAUAUGGAGAUAAUGUUAUGGCUUUCUCAUGGAGGUGUGGCCACACCCUCAAGCACCAACAGUAUUGGUUGCUUCACACUCACAAGAGACAAAUUACAAACAAAACACCUGACUUAUCACCAUAGCAGCAGUGAGCUUGUAUCCUCCAACCUGCAGAUUUUCCAUUAUGAUUACUCGACCUCCACCAUCCUGCACGAGGACUUCCAGUCUCGUCUUGAGUGGUGCAGAACCAAAGGAACUGGUGACCUUUAGGUCGGAGCCAUUUACAUCCGGAACGUCACCUUUAAUGACACCGGCACUUACACAUGCACAUUUAAGCGUACGAUCUUUCUCCCGCUUAAUAACGAACAUGUAACUAUCAAAUAGACAGUGGAGCUCACCGUGUUGGCAAAAGGUAACGUCUUUCAAUAUUUUACGUAACUUUAAGUUUUUAAAUAAUUUUCAUUAUUCAUUGAACCCAAUAUAUUUCAUUACAUUUAUUUAAUAGAUUUAUUAAUAAAGAUUUUUAAAUAUUAAUUUAAAAGACAUCAAUUGUUUAUUUAUUUAUUUAUUUAUUUAUUUAUGAGAUUUUCCCCAAAAAAUAAUAUAUUCUUUUUUGCUUUAUUUAAUACUGAUCUAAUUGAUCUAAAUUAUUAUUUUUUUAAACUUUAAUUUAUAAAUAAUAUAAUUUAAUUUAUAAUUAAGAUUUUAAAUUAAUUCUGACUUGAAAAACGAGCAUUGUCUUGGUUUACGAGCACCGAGUAUCAUGUUUCACGCAUGCGCUUCUUGUUUUGACGCCGAGUGUCACAUGAUCACAACUGAGCCAAUGGUUAUUCUCUCUCUUGCACUGCGGAAUCGUCUCCCCUGCUAGUGUGUAGUAGUGACAGACAUCAAAACAAAUACUUAUACACAAUACAGUGUAUAAAUACAAAAAAAGGAAGAAAAAAAGCAAUACAGAAUUUACACUUUUAAUCAAAUUAAAUUGCACUAGGUAAUAUAAUAUUGCACAGUUAAAAAAAGAUGUUAUUGCACAGUUACUAUCGCACGAAUUCAAAAUAUUGUAACUAUAUUCUGAGAUAAUGUAGCUAUAUUUAGGAUAUUGUAACUAUAUUAUAAAAAUUUAAUAUGUUGUAACAACAGUAUAUCACAGUAAUAAUGACGCGGUAUGCGGUGAGUGGUUCAGAAGUGUAAGAAGUGUACACAAAAGAUUUAUUAUCAGGUCUAAAAUAAUAUUUAAUUAUAAUAAUAUACUUAAAUCUUCCUACUUUCUAAGUGGUAGAGUCAAGAGAGCAAAAGAUAAAUGUAUGAAAAGGAUUUUUUUUUUUUAUGCAAUUUGGCUUACAGGCGCAAACGUUACACAUUUCAGAGCAGGUUUUUUCCUUCAGUCUAAGAAAGCAGCAUGUUGUAAGGGUUGCCUAGGUACCGGGUCGUUCCACCCGACUGCGACGCUACUGAGCAGGCUUCCUGAGCUUGGUGGGAGGGUGGGUUGAGCUUAAAUUGCCGCCAAAGCCAGGCACCGGAUGCAGCAGCGGCCUGCACUGAAAGCUGGGUGGCAAUGGCUCGUCCUCAGGGCUGAGCGGCGGUGGACUCACAACGUUGUUGCCAGGUGGCGGAGGCAGGGUCCUGGCUGGGCUCUGGGGACAUGGACCCUCCCACUGAGGCCCCCUGGCGAAACUGGAGCCUCCCACUGAGGCCCGCUGGCGAAACUGGAGCCUCCCACUGAGGCCCGCUGGUGAAACUGAAGCCUCCCACUGAGAGUCUCUCGCCUCCAGUUCAGUCCCGCUUUGACGUGGGGCAAGCUGAUUAUUCCCUGUCAGCUUGCCCCAGAGUUAUGGUCCCAGCCCCCCAAAAAAGAAUUUCUCUCGGGGGGGCCUCUGCUAUGCCUUUUGUAUGGUCGAGCAUUCUGUCACGAUCUGCUAGGUGUUGGACUGUGGGCAUGGUGUUUAGGCAUAGACGCAGAGGGGGAUGAUGGUCCACUGCUUUUUUCCCUUUACAUACUUCCUCUGGGCAACAUAAUCUGUAAGCAUGGUAUUAGUUUUCAUUGUUAUGCUGACGAUACACAGUUAUAUGUCUCAGCAAAACCUGAUGAGAAAAAACAGCUUACUAAAAUUGAGCAAUGUGUGCCGGACAUAAGAAAUUGGAUGCUAAUUAACUUCCUUCUGCUUAAUCAGACAAGAUUUAGGAUAAGACAGAAGUUUUAGUCAUAGGACCGCAUACAGCUAGGAGUAAAUUUUUAGAUCACACCGUAACUUUAGAUGGCCUUUCUGUUCCAUCAAAUGCAACAGUGAAAGACCUCGGUGUGAUCAUUGAUUCCAGGCCUUUAUUUGAAGCUCAUGUAGAUAAUAUUACCCGGAUAGCAUUCUUUCACCUCAGAAAUAUUGCCAAGAUAAGAAAUUUAUUGUCGCUUAACGAUGCAGAAAAACUAGUUCAUGCUUUUAUCACCUCUAGGUUGGACUAUUGUAAUGCCUUACUGUCUGGUUGUUCAACUAGAUGCAUAAAUAAGCUUUAGCUAGUCCAGAAUGCAGCAGCGAGAGUCCUCACUAGAACCAGAAGAUACGAGCACAUCACCCCUAUCUUAUCUUCACUGCAUUGGCUCCCUGUGAAAUUUCGCAUUGAUUUUAAAAUACUACUCUUGACAUAUAAAGCAUUAAAUGGUCUCGCGCCGCAGUACCUGAGUGAACUGCUAGUGUCUUACGAUUACGUGUCACGCCUACUUCGAUCAAAGGAUGCAGGCUGCUUGUCAGUACCGCGUAUUAUGAAAAAUACAGCUGGGGGCGGAGCUUUUUCUUACAAAGCUUUGGAAAUAGUCUUCCAAAUAGUGUUCGGGACUCAGACACAGUCUCAGUGUUUAAGUCCAGGCUAAAAACCUAUUUAUUUAGCCAAGCAUUUUUAUAAAUAGAUUAGCCAUAGGUAAAGGAGCAGAUCUGGGGGACUCAUGGACGUAGAGUAUUAUGGUGAACUGGUAUGUUUGGAUGCUGUCUUCCUCACUCUCAUUGAUCACUCAGGUUUGCUGACGGUGAGGUGAUUGUUUGCUUUACAUGUCAGGAAGCCCUCAUGUUUGUGUUUCCUUCUGGCUCUCCCUUUUAGUUAUGCUGUCAUAGUUAGUCCUGCCGGAGUCUCUGCUUGCACUCUACAGUUACUAUACAUUCACAUUAUACAUUGUGUGACUGUGACCAUACCUAACUGCCAUCUCUCCUCUUCUUCUCUUUCCCCCCCUCUUUCUCUUUCUUCUCUCCUCCUGUCUCCCCCUUUCACUUUUUCUCUCUCUCUGUCGAGCUACACAUGUUGUCCCCGAGCUGCCAGUGAUCCAGACUCCCUCUGCCCUCCGGACCUGUCUGACCCAUCCUGGUGCCCCACUUCUGGUUGAAGAUCUUGUCACAUGGAUGCCCCGUGUGUCUCUCUGGGAUGCGUCUGGUGUCUGGGAAUGAUUCUCUCUACCUAGAAAAUGGUUCUGGCCUUGACUGGUGUUGGCAACUGUUUCUCUGGGGACUUGACAGUUCGAUAGUCCUAAAAGUCUACCUGGGUCUUCAAUAACUACCCGGACUCCAUAUUAACAUCAAUUAACAUCAGCUAUUAUAGCUGAACUGCCUCCCACCCUACACACUGUAUAAAUGCAGAUCAUUUACUACUUUCUGUUUCACCCAAAUGAGGAUGGGUUCCCUGUUGAGUCUGGUUCCUCUCAAGGUUUCUUCCUAUUACCAUCUCAGGGAGUUUUUCCUUGCCACUGUCGCCCUCGGCUUGCUCACCAGGGACAAACUGACUAUUUUGAUUUUAUACAAAUUCACAUUUCAUACAAACUUAAAUAAUUCUUUUGAUUGUGUUAAGCUGCUUUGCGGCAAUGAAAAUUGCUAAAAGCGCUAUACAAAUAAAAUUGAAUUGAAUUGAAUUGAAUAUAUUAGGUUGUGUGAUCCCUUGCCUGUGUAUUGGCUGUUUAUUGAUUUUGUUUAUAGUAUGCUCCCAAGUUUUAUGCUCCCAACUCCCUUUGUUUUUGUUUGUUUGGUUUGUUUAUUAAAAGACUCUUUGUUUCA